rnacentral:lncRNA from 1 species
UUUGAUCUCAUUUUUUAUUGUAUUGUUUCUCAAUUGAAUAAAUUUUUUUAUUAUUAGUUAAAACAUCUUGUAGGGGCCAUACAAAGAGUUUUGGAUAAUAGAGCUUCCUUCAAUUCAAAUAGCAACAAGGUAAGUUCGUAAAUUCAAGUACUCCAUUAUCAAGUUGUUUGACAGUGUGUAUAUGUAUAUUCAUAAACCAGUGAUUUAUUUAGUUGGUGGUUUGAUGUAUCUAUGUGUUUAUGUAUAUGAGUAUAUAACUAGCUAUUUAUGGGAAUGGUGCCAAUAUAUUGGAUUUGAUGUAUCUAUGUGAUGCCAUCUGGUUACUUAUCCCUGAAACUUAUUUUGUUAUUCCCUUUUUUACCAUUCAUUUGUUUUGUUAUUUUUCUUUCAUAGGUUAAGAAAUGACAAUCGAUAAGAGUUAGACAUUGCAGACUAAUAGGUUGUCACAUGAAUAUAGAAAUGGUGUUAUGUCUUUCAUAGAAAGAGCUCGAAAUUUCUUAAACCAAGAAGGAAAGACAUGAUGUCCAUGUUGCUCGUGUAAAUGGUAUAUUGCAAGAUUUAGAUACAAUUAAAAGCCAUCUAAUAGUCUAUGGGUUUCAAAGCAGUUAUCGCACAUGGGUAUUUCAUGGAGAAAGUUAUCCUACGACCACUUCUAAUAUUACGACUCCUGGUGACAUAGAGGAGAGCAGUGAUGAUGAAUUUGUUGAUCCAAUGUUAAAUGUAAUACUGGACUUCGCUUGUUCAAGUUCCAAUCAAGUAGAGCCUAACGAUGAUGGAUCACCACAGGUUGCUUUUGAUAAUCAAAACGAGCCAAAAGAAUUCGAGGAGUUUGAUGACAUGUUGACGAAUGUGGAAAGAGUGUUGUAUCCUGGAUGCACCAAAUUUUCUAGAUUGACUUUCUUAGUCAAGAUAAUGCUCAUUAAGGUAAUAAAUAAAUGGAGUAAUAAAUCUUUUGAUAUGUUGCUCAAACUUUUGAAGGAUGCAUUUCCUAAUGGGACAGGGAUACCAACAUCAUAUAAUGAAGCAAAGACAAUAUUGCGUGCUUUGGGUUUAGGAUAUGAGUCAGUUCAUGUUUGUAAAAAUGAGAUAUGAGUCAAUUCAUGUUUGUAAAAAUGAUUGCGCUUUAUUUUGGAAAGAAAAUGCUAAAUUAGACAAAUGUCCGAUAUGUGGAGAAAGCUACUGGACG